rnacentral:rRNA from 1 species
GAUGAACGCUGGCGGCGUGCCUAAUACAUGCAAGUCGAGCGAACAGACGAGGAGCUUGCUCCUCUGACGUUAGCGGCGGACGGGUGAGUAACACGUGGAUAACCUACCUAUAAGACUGGGAUAACUUCGGGAAACCGGAGCUAAUACCGGAUAAUAUAUUGAACCGCAUGGUUCAAUAGUGAAAGACGGUUUUGCUGUCACUUAUAGAUGGAUCCGCGCCGCAUUAGCUAGUUGGUAAGGUAACGGCUUACCAAGGCGACGAUGCGUAGCCGACCUGAGAGGGUGAUCGGCCACACUGGAACUGAGACACGGUCCAGACUCCUACGGGAGGCAGCAGUAGGGAAUCUUCCGCAAUGGGCGAAAGCCUGACGGAGCAACGCCGUGUGAGUGAUGAAGGUCUUCGGAUCGUAAAACUCUGUUAUUAGGGAAGAACAAAUGUGUAAGUAACUAUGCACGUCUUGACGGUACCUAAUCAGAAAGCCACGGCUAACUACGUG